rnacentral:rRNA from 1 species
GCUUUUGUACACACCGCCCGUCGCUACUACCGAUUGAAUGAUUUAGUGAGGUCUUCGGAUUGGUACGCGGCAUCGACUCUGUCGUUGCCGAUGCUACCGGAAAGAUGACCAAACUUGAUCAUUUAGAGGAAGUAAAAGUCGUAACAAUGUUUCCGUAGGUGAACCUGCGAAAGGAUCAUUA